UCAUAGAGGUUACACCAAAGGAUGAAGCCAUCAUGCUUAAUAUCAAUCAGGCACAGACGUAUGAGCACCUUGGUGUUGCUUGCCAGUGAAUAUGGCCUUAACGUUGGUUAGCACACAGUUAUACCACCUGCUUGAGGACGGCCUUCAGUCUCCAUACGUAAAUACAGUGAGGAGCAGGUGACUGUCCCUGGACCCUGUGAGCAGUAGAUGUCUCCUGCCUGCUACAACUUCAGUCUGAACCACUGACACCAGCUAGAGCACCAUGUUGACUCAUGCAGCGCCCAGCCUGAAGGCCUACAAUCCGAAUGCAGUCCACUCAAAAUGGAGCCACAGUCCAUUACUGAACUGAGACCCACCAGUUGGGAACAGGCAGUUGGUCUUCAGGAGCUCUGAUGGAUAUGGGCUGGAUUGCAGUAUGUUGAAUGGAAAGAGGGACGUAUAUGGAGAGUUGGAGCUAAAGCUCUUCCUGUUGGAGCCUUAAAAUGUAAGGUCAUUCCAUAGAUCAGGAGAUCUACUUAAUCCGCUCUUCGCUUCCCCUUGGUGCAAAACAAUGAGCAUGGAGAUUUUCCAGUCCUAGCAACAGAUAAACAUCCAGGGAAGCAGAGGAAGAGCAGAGCUGACUGGCGAUCUGGGCUGUUGCUGUGGAGCAGUGUUGAAGAUAAUGUGGUAUGACGUGCCGUUUUGAUCUGGACUGCUUUAACACAAGAAGCUUUAAGCCAUACACAGGGAAAAUGCAAGUCUGUGCUAAUUACCCGAGUGAGUCAGACGGAAAGGGCGAGAGAAAGGGAGAGAGAGAGAAAUGUUAAGCUCUGCCAGCAAACUUCCACACCUGACCUGCAUUACCGCUCAGCCGCCAGCUUUCUCCCUGGUCAACAGGCAGCGAUGGCCUGCCCUCAUUGUGUUGUUGCUCCAAUCUGACAUGUUUGGUGGCAGUUCAGCUUUGAUACGACAACUCAUUUAGUCAUCCACAUCCACUUGCCUGUGCGCUUCAUUGUGCUCCUCCUGUCCUCAGACCAUUCACUUUCAUUUGGAUCUGAACGGGAAAAGAAGGGAAGUCCCACUGGGGACGUUUCUGAGUCAUCUAAGUUGUCUGAAGAUUUGCUGUACAUGGCUGGCAAGCUAAUUGGACCCUUACCAAACCAGAGCCUCCAUCCACAGCGUGUUUCAGAUUAACUACUGACAAGGUAUGACAGCGAGGCCUUUAAAAUGUCAAAGCAAGAUACCAGCACAAUGCUUAGCAAACCUUCUCAGAAACACAGCAUGUGAAAUGCGAAAAUUACCACUGAUAAAUAUAAUGAACAAGACUCCCUACUUUACAGAGCUACAUCUGAACUUGCUCACUGUCUGUGCUUGGUACGAAGGCCGUAGCUCAAAUUGCCUCAGUCAAGGCAUCUGUGCUCUUUGUGUGCAACAAUAGAUGGUGACAAAAUAGAAAGGACAGCUUUUCUAAAAUGUCAGACGGUUGGGGUCCUGCUGAAAUAUCUCCCCUCUCUCUCUCUGUCUAUUUUGAUCGAUAAAGCUACCUUUGACAAUGCUGCAUGUUGUCACCAUGACAUUUGGUCACCUGUUUUUUUUUCCCCUCACCUGGCUUGCUGCUGAAUAGGAAUAUAACAAUGAGAUUAAUAGCUACACUCCAAUGAUACAUUCACUCGCAUAAUGAAUACUGAUGGAUGAAAACAAAUACCUGCAUGGAGAAUUUGUAUUCUUGACUGUGUAUCUGUAAUAGCCGUGCCAAUGAUGUUUCAUUACGGUUUUUCCGCUUGUGUGUUUUUUCUCUCUAUCCAUACAAUCAAAUAAAGGAUAUACGCAUGAUUUA